rnacentral:rRNA from 1 species
GGGGAAUAUUGCACAAUGGGCGGAAGCCUGAUGCAGCGACGCCGCGUGAGGGAUGACGGCCUUCGGGUUGUAAACCUCUUUCGACAGGGAACAAGCUUCGUCUUUUGGCGGGGUGAGGGUACCUGUACAAGAAGCACCGGCUAACUACGUGCCAGCAGCCGCGGUAAUACGUAGGGUGCAAGCGUUGUCCGGAAUUAUUGGGCGUAAAGAGCUCGUAGGCGGCCUGUCGCGUCGGUUGUGAAAGCCCGGGGCUUAACCCCGGGUCUGCAGUCGAUACGGGCAGGCUAGAGUUCGGCAGGGGAGACUGGAAUUCCUGGUGUAGCGGUGAAAUGCGCAGAUAUCAGGAGGAACACCGGUGGCGAAGGCGGGUCUCUGGGCCGAUACUGACGCUGAGGAGCGAAAGCGUGGGGAGCGAAC